AUUCAUAAGUGUCCAGAGCUCGUAUUUGGCCAGUCACAACCAUGGCGGCCUUAUAUUUCCUCGCCGCAGUUCUAGUGUUAGUGUACGCGUUAUAUUAUUACUUCACAAGGACAUUCAACUAUUGGAAGAGCAGAAAUGUGCGAGGACCAAAACCAGUUGCAUUAUUUGGAAACAUUAAGGACGCAGCUCUUCGCAAAGAAAAUUAUGGCAUCGUAAUGCAAAAUAUAUACAAUGCAUAUCCAAAUGAAAAAGUAGUCGGCAUAUACAGGAUGACUUCGCCUUGUCUCCUUAUUCGAGACCUGGACAUUAUCAAACAUAUCAUGAUCAAAGACUUCGAAGCCUUCAGUGAUCGUGGAGUGGAAUUCAGCAAAGAAGGAUUGGGACAAAACUUAUUCCACGCGGACGGAGAUACAUGGACUGCCUUGAGGAACAGAUUCACUCCCAUUUUCACAACAGGUAAAUUGAAGAACAUGUUUUACCUAAUAAAUGAGGGAGGCGAUUCAUUUGUAGAGUACAUCCGUACAGAAUGCCAAAAGAAGGAAGAAUUUGAUAUUCAGCCUCUCCUCCAGACGUACACUAUGUCUACGAUCUCUGCCUGUGCAUUCGGAAUUAGCUAUGACAGUCUUGAUGAUAAAAUGGAUACUCUGAAACUUGUGGAUAAAAUAUUUUCUUCACCAAGUUAUGCAAAUGAAUUGGAUAUGAUGUAUCCCGGUCUUCUGAAAUAUCUAAACCUUUCUUUAUUCCCUACAUCCAUAAAAAAGUUCUUUGACAAUCUAGUAAAAAAUGUUAUAGAGCAAAGAAAUGGUAAACCAUCGGGUCGAAAUGAUUUCAUGGAUCUUAUUUUGGCGCUCCGUGAAAUGGGAGAGGUCACAAACUCAAAAUAUGACUCUGCAAAGCCAGUUGAAAUAACACCUGGUGUGAUAGCAGCGCAAGCUUUUGUAUUUUAUGCGGCUGGUUAUGAAACCAGUGCUACCACUAUGACGUACAUGUUGUACCAACUAGCAAUGAACCCAGACAUCCAAAAGAAGUUGACCGAAGAAAUUGACGAGUCUCUCAAAGCAAAUAAUGGACAAGUUACAUACGAGAGCAUUAAGGAAAUGAAGUAUUUGAACAAAGUGUUUGAUGAAACUCUACGAAUGUACUCGAUUGUAGAACCUCUACAGAGGAAAGCUGUAAGAGAUUACAAAGUGCCCGGUACUGACUUGACGAUAGAAAAGAACACAAUUGUGCUGAUAUCUCCGAGAGGUAUCCACUACGACGAGAAAUAUUACGCCAACCCUGAACAAUUCAACCCUGACAGAUUUGACCCGGAGGAGGUGGGCAAGCGGCAUCCGUGCGCUUACAUACCGUUUGGAACUGGACAGAGAAACUGCAUCGGAAUGAGGUUCGGCAGACUUCAAUCCCAAUUGUGCAUAACCAAGUUGCUGUCCAAGUUCCAAGUGGAGCCAUCGAGGAAUACUGCAAGGAAGCUGGAAGUUGAACCUUGUCGCCUUCUCGUCGGGCCCAAAGGAGGGAUGCGUCUGAAUAUUGUUCCAAGAAAACUGAAGGCUUAAAGACUUUUAAAACUGUUCAUAAAUCCAUCCAUCUAACAGGUAAAUUUAGGUACAACAAUGUGUCAAUAUUAUUUUUCAUUGAAUUUUCGACUUUGUAUGUAAAGUCGGUUGAAAUCUAAUACCACAGAAAAUUACGUCAAUUUUAUUUUUCAUUGAAUUUUAUACUUUAUAUGUAAACAAUACGGUUGAAAAUCUAAUACAGAAAAUUAACAGCAAGUUAACCUACUGCAGGUUAACUUGCUGACCAUUGUGUAUAGAAUAUUGUUUUAAAGUUCAAAACCAUAAUUGUAUAUGGCUAAUUUUGCCAGUUAUGAUAUUCUAGUGCGCGUGGACUUAGUGAGCCACUCCUUAGGUGCCAAACAGCGGGUUGGGGGUUCGCCUACUGCUUACAACGCAUAUGAGAUUAAACAAUAAUAAUUGGUGACCAAUAUUGUGAAUAAUAAAUUGUUCUAAUAUUGAAACAAAAGACUAAUGAACGUUUAGAAGUUUUAUGUACCCUGCUAACUAAUUCCUCGCGCACUAUUAUCGAGAUAUUAUUAAAACUCAUAAAGGGAUGAAACCGUCGACAAAUAUCGAUCAAAAAUUCAUUCAUUUGCAAAUUGUAUAUAAUUACUCAUAGCACAUUAAUCAUGCAUUUAGUUUAUAAGUAUGCUAUAUUUAAUUAAAUUAUUUAAAAACUAUGUUCGUUUUUAUUACAUAAAUUAUUAUACUUGUUAUACAAAAACGUUCUACUUAUUAUAUCUUGGUUAUCUUUAUAAUCUGUACAUCGUACUUAUAUCAUAUAAAAAAUUGGUUGUUUUAAGAAAAAGAUUAGAUAAAAAGAGACGCAUAGACACGACGCGACGGUAGACGAACCAUAAAAAAUUGUAUAAAAUCAUGAUUUGAACUUGGUACAUUUUUUAUAUAAUAUUACACGAUAGUAUAGGAAUUUAUAUACAGUCACAAAAAAACAUAAUCACAAUUGGGUAAUAUUCUAACCAUGACAUAGGACAUUUCGACAUAGGUUACAACAUAACCAGAAAAAAUAAAUUAUACUGUACAAUGUACUUACAAAUCUGCCUACCUUUUAACAAGAACCGAUAAUAUUAAACUGUCAGAUAAAUUAACAAAAAAAACGUACUUGAAUAGAUAAACGAAUCAGGAAGAAGCUAGAGGUUAUUCAAGGUCAUUCCUUUGUCUAUCUAUACCGUCAGCACCGCCGCGCGCCGUACUAUGAUGUUACAUAACAAUACAUAAAUAGCUAUGUAUAAUAUAUUGUGUAUAGAAUUAUAUACUGUGGUACUUCAUAAGAAAUGAUUUGUCAAUAACAAUUAAUCUGACUAAAUACAUUAAAGAGUUUUAUAUCACUUAUUAUAAAACUAUUUUUAUAUGUUAUUUAAUUCUUUUAUACUUUUUGCUGGAUAUCCGUUAAGCUAAUGAACAGCAAUAGAUAUGUAUAAAUGUAAUUAGUAUAUUAGUAAAUGGAAGAUUCCUACACAAAUGCCUGAAGUCUAGAAACAGGUUUUGUAGUUAAGUAAAAUGUUUUGUAAUCACGAAUGUUACAUACUCUUGUACCCAAAAUUGGCACAUGUAGAGUAUCUAAAGACGGGUAGGUGCGAGAGAAAGUAAUAAACAUGGAGUUGUCGGUGUCUGUAAUUCAAUGAGUGGUGGUAGAUACGUCUGGGUAGGGCGAGUUGAACAAACCCAGUGCCGCAUUGAUCGAUACCACCGGCCGGUUCAGGCGAAACGCCCCGAACAUUGCAGCACUUUAUGAAAGAAACACUAUCUCUUUUUUAUAUAUAAAUACCUCUUUUAUGGAUUAUGGUACUAAAAAAAUAAGUGUUUUUAUAAAUAUCACUAAUCCAACCCUUUCUAGUCACCAAUCAAUAACGCCAAGGAAAAAAACCGCCAACUCUAUCAGUUCUGUAUAAAGGUGAUUUUUCAAAAAACUCUAAUAUUUAUUGAACAAAUCAUUAUUCUCCCCGUUAUUAAGCAUCGUGGUAGCUAAUUAUCAUCCUUAUUUUUAUUAGAUUGGUUGAGAACAGUGUCACAGCUUAAUUUAUUGAGCACAAAUUUUGUGUUUCAAUCGGCAGAAUUGUUAACUUUUGGUUGAAUUUAUUUGAAUUUAAUGAAGUCAGGUUAUGUAAUAUGGAACCAAAUACGAAAUAAAUUGACUGUAUAUUUUUGUGUAUUUAAAAAUUGCUUAUGCUUAUAAAAUAUAGUGUUUUGUCUUUU